CCGGACAAAGAUCGCGCCGGUGCCUCGAAAGAGGCUUAAAAGGGAACACGGUAAGGGGGGCAUCCGCCUCCCGAAGCCGAGGCUGUCCCUGCAACUGUAAGCGGCGAGCGCGAUGCACAUCGCCCCACCUCACAAGCAGGAGGGUGCAAGUCACUGGGCGGACGCUAAGUCAUGCGAGCUCCGGGAAGGCCGUGCAUCAAGCGACGACCCGCGAGCCAGGAGACCUGCCGGCGUAUGGUCGCUCUU
rnacentral:ncRNA from 2 species